rnacentral:ribozyme from 13 species
AAAAAAUAAAUAACAGAUAGAAAACAAAUAAUACAAUUGACACUUUUCUUUUUUUCUUUUUUUUUCUUUCCUUUUGCAUUUUUAAUGCUUUGUUUUUUUUUUUAAUU